UAGGGAAUCUUCGGCAAUGGACGAAAGUCUGACCGAGCAACGCCGCGUGAGUGAAGAAGGUUUUCGGAUCGUAAAACUCUGUUGUUAGAGAAGAACAAGGACGUUAGUAACUGAACGUCCCCUGACGGUAUCUAACCAGAAAGCCACGGCUAACUACGUGCCAGCAGCCGCGGUAAUACGUAGGUGGCAAGCGUUGUCCGGCUUUAUUGGGCGUAAAGCGAGCGCAGGCGGUUUCUUAAGUCUGAUGUGAAAGGCCCCGGCUCAACCGGGGAGGGUCAUUGGAAACUGGGAGACUUGAGUGCAGAAGAGGAGAGUGGAAUUCCAUGUGUAGCGGUGAAAUGCGUAGAUAUAUGGAGGAACACCAGUGGCGAAGGCGGCUCUCUGGUCUGUAACUGACGCUGAGGCUCGAAAGCGUGGGGAGCAAACAGG
rnacentral:rRNA from 1 species